CAGACACACACACACACACACACACACACACACACACACACGCAGUAUACCCCCCACCUUUCCUGCUGGUCUUCUCUGUAGCUCCAAUGCUGGAUUGAAGGAUCAAAGGCUUCAGGCCAUGGACCCCUGGGAAAAGAGAGCCAACAGAAUCUCAGGAGAAGGCAGCUUCUGGGGACACACUGCUUCGGUGGAGAUGAUGUGGAGAUGGUGUGAUGGUUUUCUGGGUCAGCAGAGAGGUAAUGGACCAGUGACUUCCAGCCAGGUAACUGGUUCCUCAGAGUAUGCCAUCUCCACCUUCAGAAGUCAAAAGAACCCCAUCCAAGUGACUGAUAUCAGGGGGCUCUGAUCCUCCUCCAGGAAGUACUCACAAGCCCUGGCAGCUCACCUACCACAUACUAGGCUCUGCGCUCAGUUUACAGCCAACUGAAAGUCUUUAUUCCACCUGGCUGGGACUACAGUCAGGUAUUCAGGUCUAAAGUGUAGUAUCCAAAGCACUGGGCUUUGGAAGUCAAAAACCACAUCCUGGCCAUCUUGCUCAGCAGCUGCAGGGCAGAGCCACAGAAGCAAGCGACUGAGCAGAAGCAAGUGCAAGCGAUUAGCUGUGAGGCGUUCUGUACAAGCAGGCAAUCUAACCGAAGUUCUUUGUAGUCACCUGCUGUUGUAGUCGUCAGCUGCUGCUGUUGAACGGCACGACCCUCCGAGCCAGGCAACCGUCAUCUUCAUGAGUUUAGCUGUGGCUGCUUGCAAAGGAUCAUCCCAGCUGGCCUUGUUCAUUGCUGACAUUUCCUGAAAGGAGGAGGGAUGUCUGGAGGAGGCUGUCGGUGGACAGAGGGCAUGAGGAGGCUGUGGAUGCAGGAAGCCAGGAAUCUGCAGAGUCCUCAGGUAGAGUGGGGACUGGGUCAGACUGCGGGGUUCAGGAUGCACAGGCCCUACCCUCUCUGCGACAGCCAUGCCCCCCCCCCCACCAUGGGGACCCAGCCACCUCCACACCCAGAUCUUACUACACAGCCCGAUGUAGGCGAGUCUAUCUUACCCAGGCAGCGAAGGGCAGUGCUCAAAGGCUUUUCAUGCUCCCUCCAGGCCUCCAGAGAAUGGCUGGUCCCCGCCCCACCCCCACCCCACAGAGUCACAGUAUCUCAGGAGCAACCACCAGUACUCUCCUGCUCCGAUACCUUCCUUGGCUCCCCUUCGUUUGUAAAGUCUAAUGUGGCAGCCCACCUACUUCCUUCAGGGUUCCCUUUCUUGGGUGAUUGGCGGAGGCCCCCCCACCAAGGCCACCAUCGAGUGUCUCCCUCAGCAAUCCCUUCCUCGCUGGUGUGUCAGUUCUGGCAGGGCCUGGGUUCCUCACACCCUGGCCUGUGCUGGCUUGUCCUCGGCUGGACUUUGGACUUUGAUAGGCAGUGGUGGCGGCUGUCUCUCCAGUGGGUGGACCUUGAGAUGUUCUUGAAGCUGGGUCCUGGCAGCGGAUUUGCCGAACGGAUGGAAAGGUGAAUGAUAGGCACGCAGCUCCCCUGGAGGGGAAACACUGAGGCCUCAGCCCGCAGGGAGCACAGUUUGUCUCUUGUGUGCUAGAAUCAAACGGGACCUGGCUCUGAGAAGCUGGCCAUCUAGGUGGAUGGAUCGGCUGCCACCACCGCUGUCUUCACUGAUGAAAUGGACAAAAGACCACAUAGCAGGCGUGGUCUGGGGGCCCCAUGCAUGCUUCCCAGUAACCAUACUCUCUGCUUCAGGACACAGAAGACAGAUUCUUUUUUUUUUAGAUCCAAUAAUCUUAUUUUUUCUCUCAAAUAUUACAUCCUGA